CUGAGUACUCCACUCUCCUACCCUUGUGAACUUACCUAUACCUGUUGCCUCGGCGGUGCCCGCCUUCGGCGCCGGGGCGCUCAGCCCGCCGCGUCUCCUAGAAUCUCUGUCUUCUGUAACCGUUGCGAUACUCUCGAGCAGUACUAGAAACUAGUCA
rnacentral:misc_RNA from 1 species